rnacentral:rRNA from 1 species
AACCCCUGUCCCAUGUUGCCAGCAUUCAGUUGGGGACUCAUGGGAGACUGCCGGCGUCAAGCCGGAGGAAGGUGGGGAUGACGUCAAGUCAUCAUGCCCCUUAUGUCCUGGGCUGCACACGUGCUACAAUGGUCGGUACAAUGGGCUGCGAUGCCGUGAGGCGGAGCGAAUCCCAUAAAACCGGCCCCAGUUCGGAUCGAAGGCUGCAACUCGCCUUCGUGAAGUCGGAGUUGCUAGUAAUCGCGGAUCAGCAUGCCGCGGUGAAUACGUUCCCGGGCCUU